GUCACCGCCUCCUUUUCUCUGCAUUUCAUCUCUUUAUAGAUCACUACAAACCAUAAGCCUUGAUUUUCAAAUACCUUUGCGUUUUCACCACUUCUUCUUUUUUCUAUUUAUUAUUAUUCUGACUGUGAUAAUUAUGAUUAUGAUGUUUAUUGUUUGGUUGAGAUUGUUGAUUUUUUUGUGUGGAUUUGUUUACUUGUGUUGUUUGUGAAAUUGAAUGUGGAUUUGAUUGUCUUUAUCUAUCAGAAAAAAAUCAAGUGGAGCUAUAAAUGUAAUAUCAUGAUUUUAUUUUACUAUAUGUGGAUUUCAUUUUAGAAAAAUGUGAAGAAGAAAUAGUACAAAAGAGUGGAAUGAGUUACUUACCACCAGAUCAGGGGCAUCUUCUUCCUUCCACAUAACCAAUGGAACUCCUGUUUUUUGUUCAACGGCCAUUUUUGCUGCCCAAGUCGUUCAACAUAACGAAGAAGAAAAAACCAAUUUGGAGGAUCGUGAAGUUAAGGUACAAACGAACCCCAUAGGUACCACAAAAGAUGCUUUUGAAUUAAAUGAAAGAAGUAGAAAGGAAGUUUUGUGUUGGAGCUGCCUUAAAAUGUCAUAUUUUGAUGCGUGAAGUAAUGAACAUAAAGAUCUAAAAAAUUGGAAAGAUGGGGCAGCAAUCGCAUAGCGCUGGCAAUGAAUUCAAUAGGUUAGUUUGCUACAUGAGUUGAAUAAUUAUGUUGUUUUAAAUGGUUGAAACGUAAAUGCAAUAAUGACGUGUAUGGCUGGAGGUGAUCUAUUCGGAUCUGGAUUUUUUUCUUUUUACUUUUAUUUACAAGGAACUUGACAAAUUAAUGGUAUCAUAGUUUUGGAUGA